rnacentral:rRNA from 1 species
CAUGGCAAGUCGAACGAUGAAGCCCUUCGGGGUGGAUUAGUGGCGAACGGGUGAGUAACACGUGGGCAAUCUGCCCUUCACUCUGGGACAAGCCCUGGAAACGGGGUCUAAUACCGGAUAACACCUUCCUCUGCAUAGGGGUUGGUUAAAAGCUCCGGCGGUGAAGGAUGAGCCCGCGGCCUAUCAGCUUGUUGGUGGGGUAAUGGCCUACCAAGGCGACGACGGGUAGCCGGCCUGAGAGGGCGACCGGCCACACUGGGACUGAGACACGGCCCAGCUCCUACGGGAGGCAGCAGUGGGGAAUAUUGCACAAUGGGCGAAAGCCUGAUGCAGCGACGCCGCGUGAGGGAUGACGGCCUUCGGGUUGUAAACCUCUUUCAGCAGGGAAGAAGCGAAAGUGACGGUACCUGCAGAAGAAGCGCCGGCUAACUACGUGCCAGCAGCCGCGGUAAUACGUAGGGCGCAAGCGUUGUCCGGAAUUAUUGGGCGUAAAGAGCUCGUAGGCGGCUUGUCACGUCGGAUGUGAAAGCCCGGGGCUUAACCCCGGGUCUGCAUUCGAUACGGGCUAGCUAGAGUGUGGUAGGGGAGAUCGGAAUUCCUGGUGUAGCGGUGAAAUGCGCAGAUAUCAGGAGGAACACCGGUGGCGAAGGCGGAUCUCUGGGCCAUUACUGACGCUGAGGAGCGAAAGCGUGGGGAGCGAACAGGAUUAGAUACCCUGGUAGUCCACGCCGUAAACGUUGGGAACUAGGUGUUGGCGACAUUCCACGUCGUCGGUGCCGCAGCUAACGCAUUAAGUUCCCCGCCUGGGGAGUACGGCCGCAAGGCUAAAACUCAAAUGAAUUGACGGGGA